UAACCAUGGUGGGGACAAAGGACUUGCAACUCUUUAUAUCUUUCUCAGGCUUGGUAUAAUGUUUCACUAUUCUUUUGGGCAAAUGAAGAGAUUUGCUUCUUAAGAGC
rnacentral:snoRNA from 1 species